rnacentral:tRNA from 1 species
GGGGAUAUGGCGGAACUGGUAUUCGCAGCAGGCUCAAACCCUGUGGGCCGUGAGGCCAUGUAGGUUCGACUCCUAUUAUCCCCA